rnacentral:rRNA from 1 species
AUUGAACGCUGGCGGCAUGCCUUACACAUGCAAGUCGAACGGUAACAGGUCUUCGGAUGCUGACGAGUGGCGAACGGGUGAGUAAUACAUCGGAACGUGCCCGAUCGUGGGGGAUAACGAAGCGAAAGCUUUGCUAAUACCGCAUACGAUCUACGGAUGAAAGCAGGGGACCGCAAGGCCUUGCGCGAACGGAGCGGCCGAUGGGUCAGAUUAGGUAGUUGGGGGGAUAAAAGCGUACCAAACCGAAGAUCUGUAGCUGGUCUGAGAGGACGAGCAGCAACAUCGUGACGGAGUCACGGCCCCGAAUCGUACGGGAGGGAGCAGUGGGGAAUGUGGGACAAUGGGAGAGAGGCUAAUCCAGGCAUGCCGCGUGCAGGAUGAAGGCCUUCAGGUUGUAAACUGCUGUUGUUCGGAACGAAAAGACGCUGGUUAAUUCCUGGGGUCGAUGACGGUACCGUAAGAAUAAGCGCCGGCUAACUACGUGCCAGCCGCCGCCGUAA